GAAAAUACUUAAAUUUCCAAAAGGCCCAAUAUCAAAGCAGUUGGGGUAGUUUGUGCAACUGUACAAGGGCGGAUUUUGAGCAACCUCAUUUUGAGGGAAUUUAUUUUUAAAUAACAGCAGUAUUUUUACCUGAAAAUUAAUAUACAAUAUUUUAGACUACUUCUAGCAUACUUUCAUUAAAAUGUGAAAACCGUCAGCAGGCUUACACGCUGUGAUGGUGAACUAUAUGCUAUACAGCAAAUCAUUUACAAGGAGCAAAGAAGGACGUAUUGCGAGAAGUAAUGACUGCACAAAAAUUUGAAUACGUACAAGAACUGUACAUCGAAAUAAGUUUAAUACUGGAUAAUAUGAUGGAUCUCGCUCAUCAGAUCUUUCUUGGCGCCAUCUUUAACCUCCAAUUACCUUGAACCUGACAAGGAAGUUGCAAUUUUAGCCCAUACAAAUUGUUUUUCGAUGUAUAUUUUUAUUGUUAAUAUUGUUUUUUUUACAAAAUAAAAAAUUCAAAAUGGGCAAUUUGAA